rnacentral:ncRNA from 1 species
AAAAGACUUAGUCCUAACCUUACUGUUAGUUUUUGCUAAAUAUAUACAUGCAAGUAUCCGCAUCCCAGUGUAAAUGCCCCUGACCAUUUACCAAAGUUAAGGGAGCAGGUAUCAGGCACACCCAUAAAUUUAAACGGUAGCCUAAGACACCUUGCUCAGCCACACCCCCACGGGUAUUCAGCAGUAAUUAACAUUAAGCAAUAAGUGAAAACUUGACUUAGUUAUAGCAACUCCUACCAGGGCUGGUAAAUCUUGUGCCAGCCACCGCGGUCAUACAAGAAGCCCAAAUUAACUGUUAUACGGCGUAAAGAGUGGUAUAAACCUUAUUAAUUAAACUAAGAUGAAAAUACAACUAAGCUGUCAUAGGCGUAAGAUGUACCGAAAACCUCAUAAAACAAUCUUAGUACCACGAUAAACUAGACUCCACGAAAGCUAGGACACAAACUGGGAUUAGAUACCCCACUAUGCUUAGCCCUAAAUCCUGGUACUUAACCUACCAAAGUACCCGCCUGAGAACUACGAGCACAAACGCUUAAAACUCUAAGGACUUGGCGGUGCCCCAAACCCACCUAGAGGAGCCUGUUCUGUAAUCGAUAAUCCACGAUACACCCAACCGCCUCUCGCCCAAAACAGCCUACAUACCGCCGUCCCCAGUUCACCUAUCCUGAAAGAACAACAGUGAACACAAUAGCUUAAUUCCGCUAGCAAGACAGGUCAAGGUAUAGCUUAUGAGACGGAAGAAAUGGGCUACACUCUCUAAUCUUAGAAAAUACGAAAAGAGAUAUGAAACAAUCUCUAGAAGGCGGAUUUAGAAGUAAAGAGGAAUCAACUAAGCCCUCUUUAAAUCGGCUCUGGGACACGUACAUACCGCCCGUCACCCUCUUCAAAAAGCUUUACACCCACUAUAACUAAUCUACACACUAGCUAAAGAUGAGGUAAGUCGUAACAAGGUAAGUGUACCGGAAGGUGUACUUAGCAUACC